rnacentral:rRNA from 1 species
UACGGAGGGUGCAAGCGUUAAUCGGAAUUACUGGGCGUAAAGGGUUCGUAGGCGGUUUAAUAAGUUAAGUGUGAAAUUCCCGGGCUCAACCUGGGGUAGUCAUUUAAGACUGUUAGACUGGAGUAUGGGAGAGGGUAGUGGAAUUUCCGGUGUAGCGGUGAAAUGCGUAGAGAUCGGAAGGAACACCAGUGGCGAAGGCGGCUACCUGGCCUAAUACUGACGCUGAGGAACGAAAGCAUGGGGAGCAAACAGG